ACAAGGAUCACACUCUAGGCUGGCUGGCACAACUUUUUACCAUUAGGAGAACAUCCAUCUUUAUGUGCCUCAUUCUGGCCACUGUAUAAAAAAAGUUUGAUCAAAGUGUACUUUUUUAAACUGAAGAAAAUAUUUUAUGUGAUGCCUGAAUGAGUUUGUGCUGUUUAGUUUGCAUAUCAUAACCUUAGUGGCUUGUUGGCUAAAAUAUUGAAAUUGCAAGGUUUGUUGUCUUGGAAGAUAUGAAUAUUAUAUGAUUUUGUCAGGGCUUGCAUAAUUUUCUCACUGCCUUUUCUAUGUUAGCUCUCCAAGGAUAAUAGUUUAUAACAUAAUCUGUACACUCCUUUAAGGUCCAAGUGCUACUCAAGGGCAGUGGAUGAAACAAUGGAUGAUCAGCUUGGAGGGCAGAAUAAUCUGCGAGGGUGUGCAACCAACCUUUCUCUCUGGACUUGCUGCUUUGUUUUCACUAUAUUACAUCUUCAACCUGUAAUAUCAAGAGGAAGCCGCAUCCACACUGGAAUUCCUUCAAAGAUGAUUUGUUGGAAUAAAUCUGGAAAAAGGGACCAAGGCUGCAAAAGGAAAAGUGACAUCUAAAAAGACUGGGAAAACUGUUCAAAAGAAGACCAUGACAGUCAAUCUGAAAGUGUCAAAUCUUUUAAAAAGAUUGAUGGACUUUGAGUGGCACUUUAUUUAAAAUGUUUUUUGUUUUACAGUGGUUUGUAUAUACUGUUAUAUUUUUUUUGUAUUCUACUUUUUAUAUCCAGAAAGGGCUGGUGUUUGAUAAAGCCUUUUGUUGAUUUA